rnacentral:rRNA from 1 species
UUAAGCGACUAAGCGUACACGGUGGAUGCCCUGGCAGUCAGAGGCGAUGAAGGGCGUGCUAAUCUGCGAUAAGCGCCGGUAAGGUGAUAUGAACCGUUAUAACCGGCGAUACCCGAAUGGGGAAACCCAGUGUGAUUCGUCACACUAUCAUUAACUGAAUCCAUAGGUUAAUGAGGCGAACCGGGGGAACUGAAACAUCUAAGUACCCCGAGGAAAAGAAAUCAACCGAGAUUCCCCCAGUAGCGGCGAGCGAACGGGGAGGAGCCCAGAGCCUGAAUCAGCAUGUGUGUUAGUGGAAGCGUCUGGAAAGGCGCGCGAUACAGGGUGACAGCCCCGUACACAAAAGCGCAUGUGCUGUGAGCUCGAUGAGUAGGGCGGGACACGUGGUAUCCUGUCUGAAUAUGGGGGGACCAUCCUCCAAGGCUAAAUACUCCUGACUGACCGAUAGUGAACCAGUACCGUGAGGGAAAGGCGAAAAGAACCCCGGCGAGGGGAGUGAAAAAGAACCUGAAACCGUGUACGUACAAGCAGUGGGAGCCCCACCACCAAAGCAUUCUCUGGUGUUGAAGGCCCUGCAAAGCAGCAUCGCGGUGGCGGAGCGUCGUUUGCGACGCCCAACACACAAAACAAGCGGUGAGUGCUUUGGGGUGGGGUGACUGCGUACCUUUUGUAUAAUGGGUCAGCGACUUAUAUUCUGUAGCAAGGUUAACCGAAUAGGGGAGCCGGAGGGAAACCGAGUCUUAAUUGGGCGUUAAGUUGCAGGGUAUAGACCCGAAACCCGGUGAUCUAGCCAUGGGCAGGUUGAAGGUUGGGUAACACUAACUGGAGGACCGAACCGACUAAUGUUGAAAAAUUAGCGGAUGACCUGUGGCUGGGGGUGAAAGGCCAAUCAAACCGGGAGAUAGCUGGUUCUCCCCGAAAGCUAUUUAGGUAGCGCCUCGUGAAUUCAUCUCCGGGGGUAGAGCACUGUUUCGGCUAGGGGGCCAUCCCGGCUUACCAACCCGAUGCAAACUGCGAAUACCGGAGAAUGUUAUCACGGGAGACACACGGCGGGUGCUAACGUCCGUCGUGAAGAGGGAAACAACCCAGACCGCCAGCUAAGGUCCCAAAGUCAUGGUUAAGUGGGAAACGAUGUGGGAAGGCCCAGACAGCCAGGAUGUUGGCUUAGAAGCAGCCAUCAUUUAAAGAAAGCGUAAUAGCUCACUGGUCGAGUCGGCCUGCGCGGAAGAUGUAACGGGGCUAAACCAUGCACCGAAGCUGCGGCAGCGACGCUGAUGCGUUGUUGGGUAGGGGAGCGUUCUGUAAGCCUGUGAAGGUGGCCUGUGAGGGUUGCUGGAGGUAUCAGAAGUGCGAAUGCUGACAUAAGUAACGAUAAAGCGGGUGAAAAGCCCGCUCGCCGGAAGACCAAGGGUUCCUGUCCAACGUUAAUCGGGGCAGGGUGAGUCGACCCCUAAGGCGAGGCCGAAAGGCGUAGUCGAUGGGAAACGGGUUAAUAUUCCCGUACUUGGUGUUACUGCGAAGGGGGGACGGAGAAGGCUAUGUUGGCCGGGCGACGGUUGUCCCGGUUUAAGCGUGUAGGUGUGUGUUCCAGGUAAAUCCGGUUCACUUUAACACUGAGGCGUGAUGACGAGGCACUACGGUGCUGAAGCAACAAAUGCCCUGCUUCCAGGAAAAGCCUCUAAGCAUCAGGUAACAUCAAAUCGUACCCCAAACCGACACAGGUGGUCAGGUAGAGAAUACCAAGGCGCUUGAGAGAACUCGGGUGAAGGAACUAGGCAAAAUGGUGCCGUAACUUCGGGAGAAGGCACGCUGACACGUAGGUGAAGUGAUUUACUCACGGAGCUGAAGUCAGUCGAAGAUACCAGCUGGCUGCAACUGUUUAUUAAAAACACAGCACUGUGCAAACACGAAAGUGGACGUAUACGGUGUGACGCCUGCCCGGUGCCGGAAGGUUAAUUGAUGGGGUCAGCGCAAGCGAAGCUCCUGAUCGAAGCCCCGGUAAACGGCGGCCGUAACUAUAACGGUCCUAAGGUAGCGAAAUUCCUUGUCGGGUAAGUUCCGACCUGCACGAAUGGCGUAAUGAUGGCCAGGCUGUCUCCACCCGAGACUCAGUGAAAUUGAACUCGCUGUGAAGAUGCAGUGUACCCGCGGCAAGACGGAAAGACCCCGUGAACCUUUACUAUAGCUUGACACUGAACAUUGAGCCUUGAUGUGUAGGAUAGGUGGGAGGCUUUGAAGUGUGGACGCCAGUCUGCAUGGAGCCGACCUUGAAAUACCACCCUUUAAUGUUUGAUGUUCUAACGUGGACCCGUAAUCCGGGUUGCGGACAGUGUCUGGUGGGUAGUUUGACUGGGGCGGUCUCCUCCUAAAGAGUAACGGAGGAGCACGAAGGUUGGCUAAUCCUGGUCGGACAUCAGGAGGUUAGUGCAAUGGCAUAAGCCAGCUUGACUGCGAGCGUGACGGCGCGAGCAGGUGCGAAAGCAGGUCAUAGUGAUCCGGUGGUUCUGAAUGGAAGGGCCAUCGCUCAACGGAUAAAAGGUACUCCGGGGAUAACAGGCUGAUACCGCCCAAGAGUUCAUAUCGACGGCGGUGUUUGGCACCUCGAUGUCGGCUCAUCACAUCCUGGGGCUGAAGUAGGUCCCAAGGGUAUGGCUGUUCGCCAUUUAAAGUGGUACGCGAGCUGGGUUUAGAACGUCGUGAGACAGUUCGGUCCCUAUCUGCCGUGGGCGCUGGAGAACUGAGGGGGGCUGCUCCUAGUACGAGAGGACCGGAGUGGACGCAUCACUGGUGUUCGGGUUGUCAUGCCAAUGGCACUGCCCGGUAGCUAAAUGCGGAAGAGAUAAGUGCUGAAAGCAUCUAAGCACGAAACUUGCCCCGAGAUGAGUUCUCCCUGAGACUUAAAGUCUCCUGAAGGAACGUUGAAGACGACGACGUUGAUAGGCCGGGUGUGUAAGCGCAGCGAUGCGUUGAGCUAACCGGUACUAAUGAACCGUGAGGCUUAACCUU